UAAGCAAACUCCUAAAUGAGCGACUCUGACUGGAUGGUCCUAGGGCGUCUGUCAUGCCCAAACCCCGGUAAGUAGAUCCACACCUGUAUGAGAAAAUUAAGACCAAAUAAAGUUAAAGACCUAGAACACUAUGUGAGAUAAUAACACAUCCUGUUGGACAACAUGCAAGACACGAUUAAGGCUAUUUUUUUUUAAAAUAAUUAACCUAUAUGGCUAAAAGUGGCUAAAAAUACAAGAUUGGCCAAUACCCCGCGAAGUGAAGAACCUAAGAUUUACUAGGAAGACCGGACCCUAUGUGGGUUGCCUACGUAUCAUGCCCCGAAAAAUGAGAAUCAGUUAUGUGUAGUUCGGGCAGAUUGGAUACGGGCGAGAAUUGAAAAAAACAACACAUUUAGAAAAAAAAUAUUUUUUGUCUUUUUUUUGGAAUAAUGAUGACACAUGUAAAAUCUUUUUGGAUCUUCUUUUUCUUUUUUUUAUUUUAUUGAUUUUGGAAAAAAUGAUGGGGAAAGUGCAGAAUCUUUUCGGAUUUUUUCAUUUUCCUUUUUUUUUGUUUUUUUCUUGAAAAAGUGUCAAAGAAAAUUAUAAUUGGGCCCUACUUGCCUCAUUAUUAUACUUCAACCUCUUUUCUUUCUCAUUUACCCUCAAACCUCAUUGGUCCGUCAAAUGACCCCUUUUACCCUUGAAGAUUGCAACAUGUAGCACAUUAUGAUGCAUCAGGAUUGUCUUUUAUUUUGGGAUACACUUAUCCUAGAUGGACCCAACCCCUGUGUUGAGUUCCCUAAGUCAAAUGCACGUGAUGCAAACAAACAUUCGUACUAGGGAUACGACAUGAAGUUAUGUUAUUCUAGGUUUAAAACAUUGGGUUCUGUUCUUGACCUGGCUUACCCGAGUGGACAACUCGAGCCGAAGAGGGGACAGCGUACCAGGAGCACUGAAGUCUACUCGGCUUUGUUGCUGGCCUAGCCUCGUUCUAUUUUGGUAUAACUUCUACAGAAAAAGCGGGCCACGCGAACAUGUGCACCAUUUUAAGAAGACUCAGAGGGGUGACGUAAGAAGACAGUUAUAUACAAUUCAAAUAAUAUUAAAGUAGUAAAUAGACAACAGUUAGCACAAAAGGUUCACAAAAUACAGUAAUAUCAACAAAAAAUAAAGCCAAGUAAAAAUCAUAUUAACAAGCUCGAAUUCUUGAACCAUGAACCAGAGAUUCUAGGUUCUUCUCCCCAGCAGAGUCGCCAUAGUUGUCACACCUCCUUUUCACUACCCCCGGAAGGGUAUAACAGAGUUUUUUCAAAUAUAAGUGACAAUCGAAACGGGAUUAUUUAUUUAAAAUCAGAGUCGCCACAUGGGAUAAUUUAUUGUGUCCCAAGUGACCAGUUUAAAAUCCCGAAUCGAGGAAAUUUGACUCUAUUUACGGUCUGCGAACACAGAAAUCUGGGUAAGGAAUUCUGUUAACCCGGGAGAAGGUGUUAGGCAUUCCCGAGUUCCGUAGUUCUAGCAUGGUCGCUUUGAUCAUACUUGGCUUAAUCAAAUUGUCUAAUUACUUAUUUUAGAACCUAUGUGCAUUUACCUCUUUCAAUUAAAAAAUCAUCCUAAAAUGAGUCACGCGUACGUGUACCCAUUUGUUCGGCGCAUCAAAAAUCAUGUCACGCGAACGUAUCUAAUAUUAGUAACGCUUAUUUAUUAUUAAGAAAGUUUGUCCGAAGUUGCGCGAACGCAUACCUCAAUUAAUUUUUUAGAUAUCGUAAUUAUGUCACGUGAACGUGUACACAAUCAUGAUGAUAGAUUAAGUCGCACCUAAAGCCAGCUAUGAUGUUUAUUUUAGAAACCUUAAUGAUGUCAUGCGAACGUGUACAUAAUCACAAUAAUAAAUUCGAAACACGCCUAAAGGUUCACCUACCCGGGUGUGGUCGGCCUAAAUAUGCUCCUAGCGAACCCCAAAUGAAUUAAAAGUAAAACAAUAAGAUUGCCUCGAGCCUAGACCCGCAUACCCAACAUCAAUUUAAUGAAUUGACCCAAACCCAUUUUUGAUCAACCCCACGAUUCAAAACAAUUCAUUGUUUGUCAUUUCCAUUCAACUUGAUGUCUUCAUUCAUAUUGAACAUAUCUUAUAAAACAAACUUUAAAGAAAACAAAUUAAACAAAAUAACAAUGAAGCUAACCAUGGUUAAAUAAAUCAUAAGUAGAUUCAAAUUUAUUGAAAUAAAGAAUUAUAUUCAUUGACUAACAAGAGGGAUGAAAGGAUAUGGACCUGAAAAUGGUCUUACAAUCAAUCUAAUUUGGUGGUUCAUGGACAGAAUACUGCAACUACGAAUGGAGUUCAAAACAACAAAUCCAAUUCGAACAAAACCAGUGGACCCCACAUCGGAUGGCAAUUCCAACAAUCAAACACCUGUUUCAACUCAAACUUUAUUUCGGAAAACAAAACUAAAAGAACAGCCUAAAUUUCAUUGCGUAUUUUGCAUUUGAAAGAAAAAACAAAGCUAGACGCAACUGAAAAUCAGAAAAUGAAAAGUCGAAAUCAAAGAGCCAAAACCCCCCAUUUUUCUUUAAUCCUUUUUUGCCCAGAUUUUUUUUGUUCUUGUGAAUUUCUCAUUUACCUCUCAUGUUUGUCUGUUCCCUGCUGCUGUAUGUGUGUGUAUGCUCGUCAGAUUCUGGCCAGUUAUGGUGGUGAGGGAGCGAUGUCAGCUGGAGUUUUUCUGGCAAGUUUGGUGGUCGACUGGUUCCGAUCUUAGAGAGGAGCAUCGCUGGGGUCGUUGUUGUGAGGAAGAUGAAGAGAAAGGCUGGGAUUUUUCACUAGGGUCCUGCGGUUGUAGCCCCUUUUCUGGAGAAGCAGAUCGAGGAGCCCCUCUUUGUAAGACGGCGGGUAGGGAUCUGAUAGAGUGUAAGGUUUUUUAGGCGUAGGUCUAGGGCCUAAAGUCUAG
rnacentral:lncRNA from 1 species